AUCAGUUGUGUGCUGUACCUAUCGAGAUGAGAACCUUUGUUGCCGUUCUUCUCUUGGCUGUGGCCGUUGCUCUGGCCAUUCCUCUCAGCGGUGACGAAGAUCGGGCUACUGGUCUAGUAGAAACACCAGACCAGGCGCCCUUUUCAUCAGACCGGCAGAGCGGAGAUGACAUACUCAGGAUCAUCUCUGAUCUGAAAAAAGAAUCUACGAUUAGGCAGUAUACACCAUCGAGCGGAUGAAAUUUUCAUUCAUUUCCUGGAUGAAAAUUCCUAGAUAUAGUAUAUCUCAGGAAUGAAACGGCAAAUGGACUAUUCUUCAUAUCAUGAAAGAAAUACGACCACAACAAGCACACAAAAUGCAAAUAACAUAUACAACUACAAUAACAACAAAAAUACAACUACUACAACUAAAAAAUCAAACUCACCUUCAAACUUCAAGACUAUGAAAUUUAAGUUUCAGGAGACUUUAAAUUAUUACAAUAUUCUCUAUUUUGAUAUUUAAAUUCUUCAUUGAUGUGGAAAUGAUAUGGAGAGUGCAAUUUUUUAAACUAAGUAUUAAAUUUUAUUAAAAAAAUGAAUGUAUUUUUGCCGACGAGAACUCUUCAAUAAUCUUAUAUGCUAUUACAACACGCAAUUGUUUGGUUCUCUAUUUGGAUGAUUGUAAUUAUACGAGAGCACCCAAAUAAAAUCUACCAUUUCA